GCAGGGGUACCCGAGUGGUCAAAGGGGCAGGGCUUAGGUGUGUUAAAUAUUUGUAUAGUUCACAUUUUUAACACUAAGAGACCCUGUGACGUAGGUCUUCGAGGGUUCGAAUCCCUUCCCCUGCA
rnacentral:tRNA from 1 species